rnacentral:lncRNA from 1 species
ACAGCCUGGAACAGAUGGGGGGGAGACGAGCGCAGGCCUAAAGGCGUCACGUGAGCCGUCCACCCACGCCUUUUAAAGAGACCGUGAUGGAGAGGGCCACAAUACUUUGUUUUCAAGGGUGUGGCAGGUGUCGCAUUAAGAUUUACUUGGGAGUCGAGUGAGCUUUGUGGGGGAGUUGGAAUAGUUGAGAAACUCUCAAUCUAGUCGCGGAGGAAGAAUUCCGACACUCACACGCCUCCGCCUCCACACACCCCCCCACACGUGAUAGCGCUCCCGCCCGUCUAGCUAAUAGAGCCGGAGGGAUCGAUGAUUCGGUCAACGGCUGCUUAGUCUUGCUGCUUAAGCGCGCGGACCGUCCGCUCAUGCGCGUUCCCACCCCGCCCCCUGCCCUUUCGCGCAUGCGCGGAGGCGAGGGCAGUUGUUUGUUCGUUUUGUUCCGUUCGUCCGUCCGUUCGUUCGUUCGUUCGUGUAGCGCGCGGCCGCGGACGGGGCCGGAGGCCAGAGCGGAGGUGCAACUCACAAAGACUAAGGCUUGGAAGAAUUUCAGUAUGGCUUAAGGAUCCUUGCAGUAAACACAUAUUUACCAGUCUUCCUGCAGUCUCAAGCAGAUGUCAGCCCGGCCAGAAUCCUGGAAUCAUCUUUCUGAGAGCCAGAAUGGGAAGAGAAGGCAGUCUCCGAGAUGUGGCUGCUAUAGAGAAAAACAUCUUGAACAUAUGUCAUUGGUAGUUAUAUGUGAAAGUACAGCAAAUGAAGUGUAAUUAUGAUGAUUGGUACAUAGUCCUUUGAAGGAAAGGAGAAAAAAAGCAACUAAAAUUCAAGCUUGAAUUUCUUUCAUAAAUUCAUAAACUGUCCAAGACAGUCAUGAUUAUUGCCUUUGUCUGUUACAAGAGUACCCUCACAAAGACCAGCCAUAGUAUGCAUCACCCCUGGAGAUUGUGUGUCACAGUCUUGGAGGAUCCACAAGCAAGUUCAGUAAUCAGUUUCAGGAUAAAAGGUUCCUGUAACCAUAGUGACCUUUGAAGAAAGAUGCUCAUUCCUUACAGGAAAGUGUCAUCACAGACAGGAUUCAGGAAUCCUGCACAGGUGUAAAGCAAGGCUAUCCAACAUAGUUAUGGA